ACGUAGGUGGCAAGCGUUAUCCGGAUUUACUGGGCGUAAAGGGUCCGUAGGUGGUUGGGAGGGUCUGGUGUGAAAGCGCUCGGCUUAACUGAGCGAGGCCACUGGAAACCGCCCGACUGGAGUCGCGCAGAGGGCACUGGAAUUCCAGGUGUAGUGGUGAAAUACGUAGAUAUCUGGAAGAACACCAGUUGCGAAGGCGGUCUCUUGGUCCGAUACUGACGCUGAGGCGCGAAAGCGUGGGGAGCAAACAG
rnacentral:rRNA from 1 species